UACGUAAAAGACUAGUGUUAUUCAUCUUUAGUAGGUUUAAAGGGUACCUAGACGGUAUAAUUAGUCUUAAACAAGAAACGGUUAUGCUAGAGUUAUAUAUGAGAAGGGGAGUAUUUAUGGAGUAGAGUUGAAAUUCUUUGAUCCCAUAACGACUGGUAGCGGCGAAAGCAACCUUUUAUCUAAUAACUGACGUUGAGGGACGAAGGCUCGGGCCACGAACAGG
rnacentral:rRNA from 1 species